rnacentral:ncRNA from 1 species
AGCUUCAAUGCAGACCCGUCGGAGAGUUCUUGUAUAGUUUGAACAGACGCUUUACCGUAUGACUUGGUUCCAAGAAUUUUUGCUCUUUUAUUAUCUUGUAAUGCUCCUGCAACAAUCUCUGAGGCUGAAGCAGAUCCUUCAUUGAUCAUUAUUACGAGAGGAAUCCCAUUAGUUAUAUCUUGAGGAGUAGCUUUAUACUUUAAGACAGAGUUAAGUGACCGUCCUUUUGUCUCAACAAUCCUGCCAGUUUGAAGAAAUAAAUCACUUAUUCCUACAGCAGCCCCAAGAACUCCACCUGGGUUAUUCCUUA